rnacentral:rRNA from 1 species
UAUUAGUCAAUGCUCGCAAGAGUGAACUAGCUAACUGAAAUCACAGAAUCCACUACGUGUGGUGACUGUUAUAACGUAAGGGAAAAAAAUGAUGUUACCUUACUAUUAGUGUUGUCCAAAACUGGUGCCAGAAGACUCGGUAAGGCCAGAGACGCAAACGUUAGUCGUCCUAAUCAGGCGUAAAGGGUAUGUAGGCUGCUUUAAAAGUUUUAUAUUUAAUAGCUCUCUAUAAAAAAAUAAUAUUUUGAGACCGUAAGGUAAAAAAAAUAAAUUUUAAUAGAGUAAAAUAUCAAAUGAAUUAAAGCUAGAAUCAAAUUGAGGAUAAGUCAAAUAAUGCUUAGUGUAGGGUUUAAAUCUGGUGAUACUAGGAGGAGUACUAACGGUGAAAGCUUUUUAUCUAGAAAUGAUUGACGCUGAGAAACGAAGGUGAGAAUAGGAAAUAGGAUUAGAUACCCAGAUACCUCUCACAGUCAACGAUGAAUGGUGGUUGUUAGUUAGUUUUAUUUAACUGAUAACGAUGUUAACACGAUAACCAUUCCGCCUUGCGAGUACGGUUGCAAAACUGAAACCAAAAAAAUUAGUCGGUCUCGAAGCAAACGAAGUGAAGCAUGUUAUUU